rnacentral:rRNA from 1 species
UACGUAGGCAGCAAGCGUUGUUCGGAGUUACUGGGCGUAAAGGGUGUGUAGGCGGUUCUUUUAAGUUUGGUGUGAAAUCUCCCGGCUCAACUGGGAGGGUGCGCCGAAUACUGAGGGACUAGAGUACGGGAGAGGAAAGUGGAAUUCCUGGUGUAGCGGUGAAAUGCGUAGAUAUCAGGAGGAACACCGGUGGUGUAAACGGCUUUCUGGACCAUAACUGACGCUGAGAAGCGAAAGCAUGGGGAGCGAACAGG